AGUGAACUCAAUCUAAUCCCAUGAGCCCUUAAAAGUUAAGACUCUCUCCUGGCUGUGGUCAGAGAGACAGAGAUGUGACAGCAAAAGAAUAAUCAAAGGGAUGCAGCUUUGUGUGGGUCUAUGAGACUUGACACAAAGAAUGUUCGACUCCUGUGUGAUUAGAAGCUCAGCUGUGUCCGACUCGCUGCAGCCCCAUGGACUGUAGCCCCCAGGCUCCUCUGUCCGUGGGAUUUCCCAAACAAGAAUACUGGAGUGGGUUGCCAUUUCCUCCUCCAGGCAAUUUUUCAGACCCAGGGACUGAACUCACCUCUCUUGUGUAGGUUCUUUAUCACUAGUGCCACCUGGGAAGCCCUGUUUGACUCCUAAUUAUAACCACACUAAUUCCAAGAUAAAGUAAUUAAGGCACAUUGUAAUCAGUCAGAGUGCCCCGCCCUGCAUCCACCCUCCUAUUCCUCUGACUUAGUUUAAUAGGAAAUCAGCCAGUUUCAGCUGAUGUAAUAGCUUUAGAGGGAUGGACUGAAGUUGGAGACUUCAUUUUCUCUGUGAAUGAGAACAAAGUUCUAGCUGAGAGAGCAGAUGCAGAGAGGGUUAUGAGCCUUUUGGAGAGUCAAGAAGCUGGAGGAGGAGGGAGCUGAGCAGAAUAGGAAGCAGGAUGCUGAGUUGUGCUGAGGAUACAGCUGAGGAGACACGGGUUCGAUCCCUGAUCUGGGAAGAUCCUACAUCCGUGGAGCAACUAAGCUGUGUGCUACAGCUGCUGUGCCCUAGGGCCGGCGAUCCGCAACAAGAGAAGCCACUGCGAUGAGAAGCCCGUGCACCGCAACUGGAGAAAAAAAAGUCUGAGCAGCAACAAAAGCCCAGCAUGGCCAAGAAUAAACAACUAAAUAAAUAAUUUUAAAAAGUAAA